UACGGGGGGGGCAAGCGUUGUUCGGAAUUACUGGGCGUAAAGGGCUCGUAGGUGGCCAACUAAGUCAGACGUGAAAUCCCUCAGCUUAACUGGGGAACUGCGUCUGAUACUGGAUGGCUUGAGUUUGGGAGAGGGAUGCGGAAUUCCAGGUGUAGCGGUGAAAUGCGUAGAUAUCAGGAGGAACACCGGUGGCGAAGGCGGGUCUCUGGGCCGUAACUGACGCUGAGGAGCGAAAGCGUGGGGAGCGAACAGG
rnacentral:rRNA from 1 species